rnacentral:rRNA from 1 species
GAUGAACGCUGGCGGCGUGCUUAACACAUGCAAGUCGAACGAUGAAGCUCAGCUUGCUGGGUGGAUUAGUGGCGAACGGGUGAGUAACACGUGAGUAACCUGCCCUUCACUCUGGGAUAAGCCUGGGUAACUAGGUCUAAUACCGGAUAGGAGCUCCUUCCGCAUGGUGGGUGUUGGAAUUAUUUGUCGGUUUUGGAUGGACUCGCGGCCUAUCCGCUUGUUUGUGAGGUAAUGGCUCACCAAGGCCACGUCGGGUAGCCGGCCUGUGAGGGUGACCGGCCAAACGAGGACUGAGAGACGGACCAGACGAGAACGGGAGGCAACAGUGGGGAAUAGAGCAGAAUGGGAGAAAGCAAGAUGCAGAGACGCAGCGUGAGGGAAGACGGGCUUCGGGUUGUAAACCAAUUUCAGUAGGGAAGAAGCGAAAGUGACGGUACCUGCAGAAGAAGCACCGGCUAACUACGUG